CCUUUCUCCAGCACUGGGCUCCCUCUGCGCUGGUGACCUCUCAUCCCCCUGCCGACGUCGGCUCCGCAUGCGCGACAAGAGCCGCACACACAUUCAAACCGCCCAUAGAAAAGCAUUACUCAUGGACGUCCAGCCUCUUCUUACUGUGAUUUUCACAGUGAGAAUCGCGGAAGCGCCUCUGGUGUCUGUCAGGGAGACAGCCAGUAGAGGCU